GUGGGGAAUAUUGGACAAUGGGCGCAAGCCUGAUCCAGCCAUACCGCGUGGGUGAAGAAGGCCUUCGGGUUGUAAAGCCCUUUUGUUGGGAAAGAAAUCCUGUCGGUUAAUACCUGGCGGGGAUGACGGUACCCAAAGAAUAAGCACCGGCUAACUUCGUGCCAGCAGCCGCGGUAAUACGAAGGGUGCAAGCGUUACUCGGAAUUACUGGGCGUAAAGCGUGCGUAGGUGGUGGUUUAAGUCCGUUGUGAAAGCCCUGGGCUCAACCUGGGAAUUGCAGUGGAUACUGGAUCACUAGAGUGUGGUAGAGGGAUGCGGAAUUUCUGGUGUAGCAGUGAAAUGCGUAGCGAUCAGAAGGAACAUCCGUGGCGAAGGCGGCAUCCUGGGCCAACACUGACACUGAGGCACGAAAGCGUGGGGAGCAAACAGGAUUAGAAACCCCGGUAGUCC
rnacentral:rRNA from 1 species